rnacentral:rRNA from 1 species
UACAGAGGUCUCAAGCGUUGUUCGGAUUCAUUGGGCGUAAAGGGUGCGUAGGCGGCGCGGUAAGUCGGGUGUGAAAUCUUGGAGCUUAACUCCGAAACUGCAUUCGAUACUGCCGUGCUUGAGGACUGGAGAGGAGACUGGAAUUUAUGGUGUAGCGGUGAAAUGCGUAGAUAUCGUAAGGAAGACCAGUGGCGAAGGCGGGUCUCUGGACAGUUCCUGACGCUGAGGCACGAAGGUCAGGGGAGCAAACGGG